GGGGCCGUCCCGGAUUCGACAGGUUGGUGAAAGCCGACCCGUGAUGCAGGUCGAGAGUGAGUCUACUCUCGUAAAUUCAGGCUCAACUUCAAAAGUAACUGCGAACAACAUCGUUCCAUUUGCUCGUAAAGCAGCACCUGUUGCUGCCUAAAAGCCUCUAGUUAGGCACGAGCGUUCAUAGUCUGACUCCGUUAAGGGCUAUGGACAAAGGAUGAUUCCUGCCCAGAGGAUUAGAUGGGCUAAACCUGUGAAAGAACGGUAGGGAAAUAUCCAGCCUGGACAGCAGUUCAACUCUGCUCGGCUCCAUUU
rnacentral:tmRNA from 1 species